rnacentral:rRNA from 1 species
UACGUAGGGGGCAAGCGUUGUCCGGAUUUACUGGGCGUAAAGAGCGUGUAGGCGGCCAAGCAGGUCCGUUGUGAAAACUCGAGGCUCAACCUCGAGACGUCGAUGGAAACCAUCUGGCUAGAGUCCGGAAGAGGAGAGUGGAAUUCCUGGUGUAGCGGUGAAAUGCGCAGAUAUCAGGAAGAACACCCGUGGCGAAGGCGGCUCUCUGGGAGCGGUACUGACGGCUGAGACGCGAAAGCGUGGGGAGCGAACAGG